CCAUAGUUAAGUAGCAAGUGUUUGUGGGAAAGCUGGCUCAUCAUGCUAGCUGCUUCAAAGAAUGACUGAGGGACAAGAGAAACAAUAUGAGAACAGGAGAAACAACAGCAUAGUCAACAAUCUUCUCCGAGCUCCUUCCUCACGCCGGAGAAGAGUUUGGUGAACGUACCCUGGCCGAGACUGUCGCUCUAGGAUGUUCGGAUGCCCUUGUUGCCCAUGACGACGAUGGUAACAUCGUGUGCGGAAAGGUCCUUGACGUGGAAGCGCUCCGAGUAGAGCGACGGAAGCAGUAUCUCCAGGCUCAUCAGAUAUUUCAGGCGAAGUUUACACACUGUGGCUUUGCAUUCGCUGAACUGCUGGAUGAACCUCUUAAACCGAAAGCGGAUGCGCUUUCGAGUCAAGAUGUUGUAUUCCUGUAUGCGACUUCGCAUGCAGCUUGGCAGGAACGAUUUAUAGCUGAAGCCCAGACGUAUCACAGAAACAUUACUAUCCUAAAUUGA